rnacentral:rRNA from 1 species
GACGAACGCUGGCGGCGUGCUUAACACAUGCAAGUCGAACGGAAAGGCCCUGCUUGCAGGGUGCUCGAGUGGCGAACGGGUGAGUAACACGUGGGUGAUCUGCCCCUUACUUUGGGAUAAGCCUGGGAAACUGGGUCUAAUACUGGAUAGGACCAUGCUGUAAGUGGUGUGGUGGAAAGAUUAGUUUCGGUAAGGGAUGAGCUCGCGGCCUAUCAGCUUGUUGGUGGGGUAAUGGCCUACCAAGGCGUCGACGGGUAGCCGGCCUGAGAGGGUGGACGGCCACAUUGGGACUGAGAUACGGCCCAGACUCCUACGGGAGGCAGCAGUGGGGAAUAUUGCACAAUGGGCGCAAGCCUGAUGCAGCGACGCCGCGUGGGGGAUGACGGCCUUCGGGUUGUAAACUCCUUUCAGCCAUGACGAAGCCCUUGUGGUGACGGUAGUGGUAGAAGAAGCACCGGCUAACUACGUG